CACGUAGGGUGCAAGCGUUGUCCGGAAUUAUUGGGCGUAAAGGGCUCGUAGGCGGUCCGUCACGUCGGGAGUGAAAACUCGGGGCUCAACCCCGAGCCUGCUUCCGAUACGGGCGGACUAGAGGUAGGUAGGGGAGAACGGAAUUCCUGGUGUAGCGGUGGAAUGCGCAGAUAUCAGGAGGAACACCGGUGGCGAAGGCGGUUCCCUGGGCCUUACCUGACGCUGAGGAGCGAAAGCGUGGGGAGCGAACAGG
rnacentral:rRNA from 1 species